UACACAUGCAAGUCGAACGGCAGCCGGGGGCAACCCUGGUGGCGAGUGGCGAACGGGUGAGUAAUACAUCGGAACGUGCCCAGUCGUGGGGGAUAACUACGCGAAAGCGUAGCUAAUACCGCAUACGAUCUACGGAUGAAAGCGGGGGAUCGCAAGACCUCGCGUGAUUGGAGCGGCCGAUGGCAGAUUAGGUAGUUGGUGGGGUAAAGGCUCACCAAGCCGUCGAUCUGUAGCUGGUCUGAGAGGACGACCAGCCACACUGGGACUGAGACACGGCCCAGACUCCUACGGGAGGCAGCAGUGGGGAAUUUUGGACAAUGGGCGAAAGCCUGAUCCAGCCAUUCCGCGUGCAAGAUGAAGGCCCUCGGGUUGUAAACUGCUUUUGGACGGAACGAAAAGCGCCGGGUUAAUACCUCGGCGUCAUGACGGUACCGUCAGAAUAAGCACCGGCUAACUACGUGCCAGCAGCCGCGGUAAUACGUAGGGUGCAAGCGUUAAUCGGAAUUACUGGGCGUAAAGCGUGCGCAGGCGGUGAUGUAAGACAGAUGUGAAAUCCCCGGGCUCAACCUGGGAACUGCAUUUGUGACUGCAUCGCUGGAGUGCGGCAGAGGGGGAUGGAAUUCCGCGUGUAGCAGUGAAAUGCGUAGAUAUGCGGAGGAACACCGAUGGCGAAGGCA
rnacentral:rRNA from 1 species